AUUGAACGCUGGCGGCAGGCCUAACACAUGCAAGUCGAACGGUAACAGGAAGAAGCUUGCUUGUUUGCUGACGAGUGGCGGACGGGUGAGUAAUGUCUGGGAAACUGCCUGAUGGAGGGGGAUAACUACUGGAAACGGUAGCUAAUACCGCAUAACGUCGCAAGACCAAAGAGGGGGACCUUCGGGCCUCUUGCCAUCGGAUGUGCCCAGAUGGGAUUAGCUAGUAGGUGGGGUAACGGCUCACCUAGGCGACGAUCCCUAGCUGGUCUGAGAGGAUGACCAGCCACACUGGAACUGAGACACGGUCCAGACUCCUACGGGAGGCAGCAGUGGGGAAUAUUGCACAAUGGGCGCAAGCCUGAUGCAGCCAUGCCGCGUGUAUGAAGAAGGCCUUCGGGUUGUAAAGUACUUUCAGCGGGGAGGAAGGGAGUAAAGUUAAUACCUUUGCUCAUUGACGUUACCCGCAGAAGAAGCACCGGCUAACUCCGUG
rnacentral:rRNA from 1 species